rnacentral:rRNA from 1 species
UUUUAUGAGAGUUUGAUCCUGGCUCAGGACGAACGCUGGCGGCGUGCCUAANUACAUGCAAGUCGAACGCUUCUUUUUCCAACGGAGCUUGCUCCACCGGAAAAAGAAGAGUGGCGAACGGGUGAGUAACACGUGGGUAACCUGCCCAUCAGAAGGGGAUAACACUUGGAAACAGGUGCUAAUACCGUAUAACAAUCRAAACCGCAUGGUUUUGAUUUGAAAGGCGCUUUCGGGUGUCGCUGAUGGAUGGACCCGCGGUGCAUUAGCUAGUUGGUGAGGUAACGGCUCACCAAGGCCACGAUGCAUAGCCG